rnacentral:rRNA from 1 species
GACAGAGGUGCCAAGCGUUAGGCGGAAUCACUGGGCUUAAAGGGUGCGUAGGCGGUCCGCCAAGUGCUUUGUGAAAUCCCCGAGCUCAACUCGGGAACUGCAGGGCAAACUGGAGGACUUGAAGCAGGUAGGGGCUGGAAGAACAGUAGGUGGAGCGGUGAAAUGCGUAGAUAUCUACUGGAAUGCCGAUGGGGAAGCCGUCCAGCUGGGCCUGUCUUGACGCUGAGGCACGAAAGCGUGGGGAGCAAACAGG